AGGGGGCCCCCCCGGCCAAGGGGUGCGGGCGGCCUCUAGAAGCGGGGAGAAAGGCCCGGAAGCGGCUUCUCCCCUCCCAGCCUCCAGAAGGAACCCGUUCUGCCAACUCCUCCACUUCAGGUUCCCGAGCUCCGGAACUGUGAUCAAGGUCAACAUCCAUGGUUGAGCAAUCAUGUAUGGGGGCUACUCAUGAUGUGAUGAAGGUGGCCUCUGCGUCUUCCUCCCCCAAACCCACCUUGGAAUCAUGAGGGAAACCUCAGACAGCAGGAGAGCAGAGUCAGAACCCGGGAAGGCCUGAGCCACUGCUGCAGCCCCGGAGGGGCCAAAGGAGCUGUGAGAACUGAAUGUACUGGGGUGUUCUGGACGAUGUCCCAGGACCGAACAAAGGACAUCGAGGGAGAAAACCAAAGAAACCGAGGACCAUGGACUUCAUUACUAACUAAAGUCUCAAUAUGGGUUCACUAGUUGGGGCAUAUGCACCUUUCGAAAGACUCGAUUUUUCUGUACAUCUAAAACCAUUCUAAAAACUUAAAGGGUUCAAUCCACUUUCUAGGAAAUCCUCCUAGGUAAAUGCUCACAGAGGUAGCCAAAGAUGUGUCCACAAGGGUUUUCAUUGCGUCAUACUCUAUGGGCCAGGAGACUCCUAAGUGCCUAAGACGGGGACUCGGGGAAUACCCUACAGCAGUUAGAGAUGGUGAUUUGGCUAAAAUGAACUUCCAGUUGUAGAGUAAUAAGACCCCGCUUCUGCUAAAUGAAAAGUUCUUUACGUGCGUGUUUUUUGAGGCUUAGAAAACUUGUAGGAAGAGAAACUCAGAACUGUUUGUUGUGGUUACCACAGAUAGGAAAUCAGAUGGAUCAGUUCUGUCUUUAACAUUUCGUUGACGUCUUUAAUGUUUGGAUGGUUCUUAACAAAUGAAUACUUAAGUAUUUGAAUGUUAAUUUGUGUGUAUUCUUAUGAAAUACUCUAGAUUGGCCAAAAGGAAUAGAGGAUAAUAUCCAGCUAAGAAAUGAAAGAUGCAAGUUACUUUUAUGACUAAAAACAAAACCUCAAGCCCUAUAAAGGUUCCUAUUUAAAUACCA